rnacentral:lncRNA from 1 species
UGUGGUGACGUCAACGGCGUUAGAGGUAAUUUUUUCCCUAAACAGCUAGAACAUCAAAGCGAUACUAUACAUAAAGAAGCUUGUUUUAGCUUGCAUUCACACUGACGCACUGAGCGCCAAACUUGUUCAUCUUGCUGUCUAUUUGGGAUCAGAGAAGACAACAUUAUACAGGUAAAAUUAAUUGCUGUGCUGCUGCUGUUGAAUUAAAGUAAAACAAACCAUGAAAGCAGGUCUCGUUUUUGUUCUGGCGCUAGCCACAGUUUGUUUGCUGUCAAAUUCGCUUGUUGCGUCAAAACCAGAUCUUUGCUAUCUUGAACCAGUCCCUGGUCCCUGCAGUGGCUACUUGCCACGAUAUUACUACGAUCCCAAUUCAAACAGUUGCGAGAUAUUUAUAUAUGGCGGUUGUUUCGGAAACUACAACAACUUUGAUACUUCUACUGAAUGUUUCGCUACAUGUGGCCAGUAAAAGGAUGAGAACAAAAAAAGCGAGAAUGAAGAAAUUUUGAUACGGGGGAAUAACAGGGAGAAUGUAGUUUGCUUUAUUGAUCUACUCUAGUUUGCUAUCGGUGUAUUAGUAUUACUCUUCUUUCUUAUUAUAAUAAUCAAU